UUUCAGCCAAUUCAGCUGACCAGUCUGCGUGCGAGUCUAGUGCUGGUGAGCAAUGGCUGCAGACAGUAACCUCUCUGGUUCUUCCCAUCUGUACUGUGCUGGGAGGGACCAUUGAGACAUUU